AUGCAGGUUCAGUCAGUGCUACCUUUUUCCAUUUUGCUAACAUUUCAAGAUAUCAAUUUCAGUAAUAUCCAUCAGAACAAAAAGACACAUAACUGGCAACAUUGAGUCUAAAGUAAACUCGCUGUGCUCAUCUUCCUAUCUCAACCCAAGCUCUACAGCAC